rnacentral:rRNA from 1 species
UACGAAGGGGGGCUAGCGUUGCUCGGGAUCACUGGGCGUAAAGGGUGCGUAGGCGGGUCUUUUAAGUCAGGGGGUGAAAUCCUGGAGCUCAACUCCAGAACUGCCUUUGAUACUGAAGAUCUUGAGUUCGGGAGAGGUGAGUGGAACUGCGAGUGUAGAGGUGAAAAUUUCGUAGAUAUUCGCAAGAACACCAGUGGCGAAGGCGGCUCACUGGCCCGAUACUGACGCUGAGGCACGAAAAACGUGGGGGAGCAAACAGG